GGCAGCACAGAGCACAAUGCGGCGCCACCGCUUCUCAUAAACGAAGAAGAAAAUUUUCGCGCCUUGUUUGAAUUAAAUCACCAAGUUCGUCGUCGGUAAUUAAAAUUUAUCUCCCUACCUUUCGUUAAAUAACUCUAAAUAACUCUAAAUAACUAACUUUUUGUUACUUAGCUGACGUCUGACGUCGACGUGAGUUCAGGUGAGCUGUCGCCGUCCACCUGUCUCUUUCAUGACAACAGUUAAACCAGAUAAACAAACUUUGCUAGCUUAAAAACCCUGAAACGGUUCGUUUAACUCACACAGGAGGGAUGUUAAAUAGUAAAACGGACUUAAAGAAACCAAAAAUGUCUACACUGGAUAUAUUUUAACGACUAGAAAAAGCCAGAGCCAAGAGGAACAUAUCAUACAGAGGAUGACCUUUCCAGCUUUGACGCAGACGAAAACAAACAACAACAACAACGCCACAUUGUUCUGAACGAUUUCAUCUAGAAGAAGACCUUCAAACAACCACAGUCACCAUCUCUAGACCCCUACAGAACCGGGUCAUCUCUUCUGAAACAUAGAUCUGAAUUUUGACACCACACCUGGGAUGGAAAGGUGGAAAGAGCAGCAAAGUACGAAGAAGAGAAAAGGAGAAUGGUAUAUUUCAGGAAUGACAGACUGUUCAGGGGCAUCUAGCAGCAGUUGCUCUCACCUGUGGUCUUUGUAGUUGGGUCAUGAAUCAACUACCUGACGCUGCUGGAAACAAGCUUGAUGAGAGCAGUGAGACUGAACCAAAACAGUAAAUCUGCACGCCUUCAAACCAAAAUGAUUAGCAACCCCUUUAAUACAGUACAUAUAAAUUAUACCCAUUAAUACUGUAAAAAUAUGGAUGCAAUGUACAGUAUUAAAGAGUAGAAAAUACAUAUAAAGAGUAAUAUACAAAUGCACAAACUAAAAAACAGGUCAUGACUGAAUGUACUGGGGAAAUAAGGUUCUGUUCACUGUAUAUUGUGUGCAAAGAUACCAGGAAUGUUAAGAGGUUAGUGCACUGUAAUUUGUGACCUCAUUAAUUCUGCAUAGUUUGUAAAUAUGCAUAGCAAGUAGAAGUACUGAAGGUAAGAUGGAUGGUUUCAAUGUGAAAUACAUAAUGUACAAAAAGUCCAGGAAAUGUGGGGAAUUGGGGACAGUGCUGCAGUUGAGUCUACAGUGUGUAGGGAAGACAUUACUCAUGUAAUAUAUUCUAUUUUGGUGUUGCUGUUGAUAUUACGACAUUAUUGUGAUGAGUCAAGGUGUAAGUAAUUGAAAAUCAAUGCAAACAACUGCUGCAAAUGGAGUGAAACACUUUAUGCAAGCAUUCUCUAAGCACUAACUUUGCUAACAUAUUCACUGCAGUCAUUCAUAAAGAGUAUGAACAUCAGAGAAGUGUCCGAUUCAGACUUGGCAGGAGGAUUUAUGUCAUUUCUGACCUAUUGGCUGUCUUCUUGGUAAUCUGAACGCAGAGUAAGUCAUCUUAAAGAAAGACCCGUCUCACCCCGUGGAAGAAAAAUGAUCAACAUCCCUGCUCCCUUCUAAACUGUAAUUACCUUUAAUAACAGUGUAUUUACUGUAUUAGUCAAGCUCAUCUGAAAAUUAUCUCUCUAAUUGCUCUAUUAGUAUGUGUAGCAUCAGCCCCCACAAAAGCCAGUUCUGUCAUUAUGUGAAGUUAUCUUGUAAAUGAAAGACUGCACUGCAUGGAGAUUUGCUUUUAAUUAUUUUAUUAUUAUAAGUUAUGCAAAUGUAUCAUUUCUGUUUUAAUGAUGAUUACAUGCCAGCGUCGUCUCUCUCUGUAAGUCACGAACAUCACUCUUGGUUUCGGGGUUAAUGCCAUCUGUGGGGGGUUUAUCCCUCCCCUGCACGUUAAUAGAGCAGAGCGUGGUGUGGCUUUUAUGGACUGAAGUCAAACACCUGCAGUAUCUGUACGCUCACAUUUGCCGUCAUUGGUGGUAAAAGAAGGCCAGAGGACCAGAGAUGUUUUUGCAAUUUCCCUUCGUACAGAGAGAUAAUUAGGAGAAGAAUUUGAUUCAUUAGCCUAUGGAAAGAAGCGUACCUUCCUCCCUGAGCGGACGGCCCUUCCACUUCAAAGGGAGCACAGGUUCUUUGAUCCACAACCAGGAGUAGGAGAUGGGUAGAACGGUACAGUUGUGAUUACUGCGCAUUUCAUGGAUUUGCCUCUUUCUCUGGUCACCAGUUCUAGAAGAUGGAUGGCGAUCGUCAGCCACGUUAGAAAGAUAGUGUGAUCUGAUUCCGAAAGGAUUUGGCCCCUAAACUUGCUUGGCCCCAGCUGUCGAGAUUAACUUUGUGUCAUGACCUGUGACAUUCACCUUUUAUGGGGUUUUUUUGUUGCAAUUUCUAGUAUUUUUCUUUUUUUUCUUUCAUCCCUUAUCCACAUGUGGUCUAUUUUACAGCUCACUGACUUCAACACUGAUACAGUCACACAAACCGUGGAGAUUUCUGCACACUAACACGCACUUUCUUUCCUUUUCUCUUUCUGUUUGUUUUUUAAAGAGAAGGACAGGGUAAGAUUCCAGUUCAUUUGGUGGCUUUGGUUCUUGUUAUGUACCAGUCACCUUCAUUUCAGUUACAACAUAUCUGCUGCGAUGGUGGCUGAUGCAAAGCUUGUACAAGGCUUUUCUGAAUCUUUUUUUUUUUUUUUAGUCUUUUUGUCCUAUCUCCUUUUCUUUAAAAGCUUUUCUACAAGUCUUAUACAGAUACAUGCACUACUUCGGGGUGGAGAGAAUCCCAAUUAAUUUAGAGGUCGUUUGUUUAGUCCUCCUCAUCAGAUCAAUUUUAUGCAGGAGGAAAAGGGGGAAAAUCGUUACACAGCUUAAAAGAAACCUAAGUGAAUUACAGUAAUUAUUUAAUGCUUGGUCUUGAUCAAGCUAAGUGUCUGUACAGGGUUUUAUUUAUUUCCUUAAUAGCCCCCCCAUCUCCCAAGGUCCCCCUGUGGACUGUGAUAAAAGAAACAUUCAUGUACAGAGGACGAAUCCGACUGUUAAGAAAAGUAGAUGCUGCAGGAAUGCUUGUACUCAUUUACCAACUUGGACAUCUCUUAACCUGCUGGAGAGGCUAUAAAUUACUCACAUUUUGUCAAUAUAUAGGAAACUGUUUUUUGGGUCCUGAGAUGUUUGCCCAUUUUCAGCAGUAAUCAAAGAGAGUGGGCAAUUUUGUGUUUGUGUAAACUGGACAGUAAGCGAGGCAGAUCUACGAGAGAGAUCACUUUACCAUUGUUAUCAUAGAAACCUGCAUGUGUAUGUGUGUAGGUAUAUGUUUUAAAUUUCAUUAUGAUUGAACGUGUAUAAUUAUAUGUGACAACUUCACUACCAUAAAAUAACAAAUUUUGUUUAACAAAUCAUUUUGAUGCUACAUUGACUUAUAAUAUGAUAAAUAGUGUCUGUAAUAUGCCUUUUCUUGCACUAGAUAACUUUAGAGCUUCAGUAGUGGGAAGUAUGUAACAUAGGCCUUGAGUCAUACACCAACUAUUUCAUUGAUUUUGGUGAAACUGGAUCAUAAUUUAUUGAGAAAAUGUUUUCUAGUUUUCUGUCUGAUGUUCUGCGGCUGCUCUGCCCCAAUUCUCUGUGAUUUACAGAGUUUCUUGAUGGACGCGUUAAAGUAAACUGUUGCAAAAUGUUAUGUUUUUCUGAGCACAACAACAGAGCACAGCACAGGUAAUUGUAGGUGGUUAUGUUGCUGAGAAGUUGGAGGUGUGCAGCCUGUUGCCUGCACCUUCACACAACAGCUCAAGGUGACUGCUCUUUCUUGUUCUAUUCCCUUGCCGAGGAAAAAAAAGAUCCGCUGAUGAAAUAAAAUGCCAAAAAUGACAUCUUGUUUUGUAGAUUUAGUCAUGGUCUAUCGUUUUCAAGGAGUCCCUUGUGCAUACAGUAUGUAGGCAAUUUGAAUUCAGCUCGUGAAUGGUGGGCUCUGCAACUAACAAUUUUAAAUAAUACAUAGAGAGGUAAUUACGGAAUAUAAAUACCGUCUUUAAUCAAAAUCUUAAAGAUUGUAAUUUGAAUGUGUUCACUUUAAAAAAAAAUGCUUUGAAAAGUUUUCCAAAUACCAACCAUUGUCAAAGCUGUGAAUUUGAUACGUAUGUCAAAUGAAAUAUUCAUACAUACAUUUCCACAUUUUAGGCUUGGACACAAUGUGUAAUAAUGAGGUGCAUAAUGUAAAAACCAAGAAAAAUGGAUGGCUUCAUCUCUAAACAUUAUAUUUUUAACAGUUAAGCCAAAUUACACUUCCCAUAUCUUAAACUUGGCCAGUGUUAUAGUUGACUCUUGUCAAAAGUUGACUUUUAGUCUACAGUAAGUUGACUAAACAUAAAAGCAGUAACAAGAUCAGCUUUUUAUCAUUUUAUAAAUACAGCCAAACUCAGGGACUUUAUGUCAAAAGCCGAACUAGAAAAACUCUUUAUGAAUUUACUUCAAGCUGAGUUGAAGUUGAGUCUUUUGACAUGGCACGGGACCAAAAUACAUUAGACAUGUUUUAAGGAGUACACUCCUGUCAGAUCUUUCAGGUCAAGUAGGUUGCAAAUGCUAGUAGUGCCCUGUGCUGGGGUUAGGGUUAAAUUGUCAAAGAUCGACAGGCAGUCUGUCGAAAUCCUAAGAAACCUUUGAAUCAGGACUGAAAACAACACUGUAGAUGGAUGCUUUUGCUUGGGUUUGUUGAGUUGUUACAAAAUGUUAAACUUGUUUUAAAAAUGUAGAUGCACGGCUUUCUUAGUUGUUCUUAAUUCAGUCUGAAUAAAUUACCUUGAAUUGACACUGUCUAUGAAAAAUGCGUUGUAGUAAAGUAAAGUUGCAUUGACUUGGUCAAAGGAGAAUGAAUUGUAGUGUCGACUAGUUGACCAAAAACUCUACUCUGCUUCACUAGUUAAAAGGAAGUUGGAGUGCCUACUCGAUGAUAGUUUUUAGUCAAAAUUACGGUUGGUGUAUUAUAUAAAUCCAUGGCAAAUCAGUGGAGCUAAAUAUCUCAACAUAGCUGAAGAUAAUUCUUAAGUAUGGUACAUUCUGUUAUUUAAACAUGCCUUGACUGAGCAUUGGAAGAAUAAAGAAUUUAAUUGAAAAUGACUGUUCC